rnacentral:misc_RNA from 1 species
UUUCCGUAGGUGAACCUGCGGAAGGAUCAUUAAAAAUGAAGCCGGGAAACCGGUCCUUCUCACCCUUGAUUAUCUCAAAUUGUUGCUUUGGUGGGCCGCGCAAGCACCGGCUUCGGCUGGAUCGUGCCCGCCAGAGGACCACAACUCUGUAUUAUAUGUCGUCUGAGUACUAUAAAUAGUUAAAACUUUCAACAACGGAUCUCUUGGUUCUGACAUCGAUGAAGAACGCAGC